GAGUCAGUGUAGAGGCCAUACUAAUUGUAUAAAUAUCAGCCCUGUUGGUUUUUAGGAGCUUUUUAAACCAUCUAUUUAAAUCUGCAAUCAAGGCAAAAACCUGUAUACUCUAAAGUCAGACACGAAAGUGUCUCAUGUUACAUGAUCUGCUUGAAAGCAAACACAUGCCAGUUUAGCAGCCCUCUCAUUUAGGCACCAAACACAAGCAAGCACCUGCUGUCAUGUGCUGGGAAUCCCCGGCCCCAGGCCCCUGUAUUCUGUAUUGGAAUGGCCCAUGAAGACUGACCUGCCCACACCAGCCAGUUUGGGAGGGGCCAGGGGAGUACUAGACUCUGUGUCAACCAGCAGAGCAUCUCAAAAACAAAUGUGCAGUCACUAUUAGAGUCUUGGCACUUUCCCCUCUAAAACACAUGUCAGUGCUGGUAAACAUAGCCUGGAUCACUUAAUGUUUUCUUAUCUCCACCAGUCACCACGAACCAUGUCAUGAGGCCCCAGUGAGGCCCCUUACACAUCGUGGAACUAGCACAGAGGCAGCUUCAGCACAGAGGCAGCUUCGGACAGUAGGUCAUAGGGGACAGUGGAGAGACAUAAAACAGUGUCCAAGGGGCUUUAGUCCAUAAUGAUGGAGUUUUGCUUUAAAACACUGUUCUAAACAUUUAAAAUGUACCUUUUCCUGUCAUUUAGUUUAUGAUAAAGGCAUUGCAGCUUUUCCAUUGGAUUUGCUCAUUUAAGUCUUUUAUAAAUAAAUCCAGGGAAAAAGAUUUUCUUGGACUUCUUUGAGUUACAAAACAAUGCAGUGGGAAUUAGAAUUUAGUCAGCUACUAAACUAAGGUUUUCUUAGCUGUUACUUUCAUUCAUUUAUGUACACUUCCCGGCACACCAGUACAGGGCUGCUACUUAGAGGCUUUGUGGGAAGAUUGUCUUUUUCGUGUCAUUAAACAAAAAAAAAAGAGAAAAGAAAGAAAAUGACUAAAGCCAAAGAGAAUGACUGUCAUACAUUUAUAUUUCCCAUGAAGGCAGAAGCAGUAUAAUUUCUUUUUAUUAUAAGAAACUCAGACUAAGUUAUUAAUACUUAUUAUUUUUAGACCAUAAAUAAGUUUAAUAAAAUUUUUUACAUUAUUUUAACCUUUAUGGUAUACACACUUGGGUUAGAACCUAUAUGUUGGUUAUUUGUAAAGGGUGUAAGCAUCUACUUUUUUGUUGCCAUUGUUUUUAGAGACAAGGUCUUGCUGUGUUGGCCAGGCUAGAGUGCAGUGGCAUGAGCAUAGCUCACUGCAGCCUUGAACUCCCAGCUCAGGCAACCCUCCCACCUCAGCCGCCAUAGUAACAUGGGACUCCAGGCGUGCACCACAGUGCCUGGCUAAUUUUUGAAUUUUUUUUUUUUGGUAGAAACAGGGUCUCGCUAUGUUGCGCAGGCUGGUCUUGAACUCCUGGCCUCAAGCAAUCCUCUCACCUCAGCCUCCCAAAGUGCUGGGAUUACAGGCAUGAGCCACUCUGCUUAGCCUAUAAGCAUCUACUUCAAACAGAGAUACAAGUGUUUGGUUUUCUCUUGUAACAUUUUCCUCCAGUCUUUCAUUAAGGAAUGUUUAUAGUUUUCCUCAGUUGUCAGUGGUUAUUAAUAAAAUGUAUUAGUUAAGCAUUUCCCCCUUGCUUUGGGAUCUGUUUGAUCCAACUGAUAAGUGUCCUUAGUAAACAUACUCUUGGGUUUUUAUUGAUUAAUCAGCAAAUCUUUGAUACUGACAAGAAUAUUGUUUUAGCGAUUAUAGUAAGUAGCCAUUAGGCUUAUCUGUGACCUAUCAAAAAAAUUUUUUUUUUCCGUUGGCAGUAUAUCACUAUGAUAUUUAGACUCCAGAAAUAAUGUAACUCAAGCAGUUUAAAUUUACAGUUGAAUUACAGAAGGAUCCUCUUAGCUCUUUUGUUGUCUCUAAUAAUACCAUUGAUUAGAGGACUCAUAGCCUAAUCCCAUACAUGGCUCAAGCACUUAGCUGUUUCAUUGAAAUGGAGGCAGGUAUAAAACAUUCUUUCAUUUAAAAAUAUUCUCAAUAGCUGAUAAGUGCCUUUAGUUUUGAAAUUAAUGCAGAACCAUCAUUAAAUUUUUAAGCAGGUAAUUAUGGUGAAGUAGCUUGACAUAUGAUCUUGAUAAUGAGGCUAGAAUUUAAUUGAGUUUCCUUUUUUCUUCAGUUCCAUGCUUUCUAAUUUAGCUAACUGACCCGUUGGAGUUUCAUUACAGUUUUUUUGUUGUUGUUGCUGUUUUUCCUUAAUGCCUCAAGUAGGGGAUCUGAGUGUAUUACAGCUCAAAAAAUCUAGAUUUUAGGAAAACUAAUUUUCAUAUGAGAUUCUAGUUGCUGUUUUUCUAUCAUUGAAGCCCGUUCUAUUCCUGUGCCAUGCUGGGUACUUGCAUCCACAUAGCUUUGCACGUAACUAAACACAGGUGAGUCUUUGCGUGCAUGCGUACACACACACAAAUUGGUGUAUAAGGAGUGACAAGCACUUUUUCUUUCUGCCCUGUGUUUUGUCAACUCUGAUCACGGCCCUCAAGAAUCAACCCUGGUCUCUCCUCUCACUGACUCACAUGAUGCAAAACUGCUCUUCCUCUGUGGCAUCCAGGAGCACCCCAUCACAGGGCAUUUCAGCUGUCCGAGGUUUACAGCCCCCCAUCCAUGGAGAUGGGGUUGCGAAAGGAGAGGGGAAAGCUGCUUUAAGGUGGCCUCCAGAAGUAGCUGAUACAGAGCAGAGAGUGCGGGCUCAGAAUGGGCCCUGAAUUCACCCCUCCUUGGAUUUGAAUCCUUGCACUCCCGUCCAGCUGCUGAAUCUGGCUGCUGCCUCACACAGAGAGCCUGCCCCCUGCCUUGGAUCUUGUCACCUGUCUCUAUACCCUGGAAUGCCCAGUUCUCUUCCACAUCCACAGGCCCAUAUACAGCAGAGCUGUACCCGAGACCCAGCUCCCUGGCUGGCUUCACCGCGCUGGUGGAGGACUCAAGUGAGCCUUCCACCACUGCAGAUUUCUCCCCACAGCCUGGCAGCUGCCGAGAUUCUAGAGGAGGAUGCUGGAAAGGAAUCUGGCAGAGGGAGGUGCAAGUGGAAAGUUGGUUCUCAUGUUAACUGUAAUGGGGGAGUUUGGGGAAAGGCCAGGGGGAUGAGCGGUGGCUUCCUCUCCUCUCUGGGACCCAGAAAGCUGAACGCAGGAGCCCCAUGCUGUUUCCACGAGGGGUUUGCCUCUCUUUUUAAACAAACAGGUUUCUCCCACUUUGCUUAAAUAUUUGAGCGUAA